UAUGAGUUUUCGUGUGCAUGCACACUUCUUCAGAUACCUUCAGAUGUCUUCUUCAGAUAUUCUUCAGGUAUCUGAAGAAGUGUAUAGCUUCAGAUAUCUUCUUCAGGUAUUCUUCAGGUAUCUGAAGAAGUGUGCAUGCACAUGAAAGCUCAAA